GAGAGAAUUUCUUAUGGUAGGAAAUUUUCGGAUGCCUUCUCUAAAGGAUGGGCUUGCCUUUUAUAGGCGAGGGGAUACAUUUGAAUGCAAUAGAUUGAUACAAGUGGACGGCUCAGAUUUUGCCGACAAUGUUGAGUGCUUACUUUUGAAAAGUAAAGUAAGUUACUAUUUGCUUUUUUGAAAAAGCAGUUUACUAUUUGCUUUUGCUUUUGAAAAGUCAUGUCUGUCUUUAGACAGUUGUGACAGCCUGAUUUCUAUCAGGAAUAGUAGGUUGCCCUUUGGAGAGAUAAUUCCGGCUCUUUGAACCUCUAUCUCUUCGAAGGGUUAUUCUCCUAUUCUUAAUAGGGAUCUAGGUAGGCCAUAGCAAUCCCUUUGGGAUCNNN
rnacentral:lncRNA from 1 species